AUUGAACGCUGGCGGCAGGCCUAACACAUGCAAGUCGAACGAGCGGCGGACGGGUGAGUAAUGUAUGGGGACUGCCCGAUAGAGGGGGAUAACUCAUGGAAACGGUAGCUAAUACCGCAUACCAUAGGAUAACCCAUAUGGGAGUAGCUAGUAGGUGAGGUAAUAGCUCACCUAGGCGACGAUCACUAGCUGGUCUGAGAGGAUGAUCAGCGACAUGUGGACUGAGACACGGUCCAUAAUCCGACGGAGGCAGCAGUGGGGAAUAUUGCACAAUGGGCGCAAGCCUGAUGCAGCCAUGCCGCGUGUAUGAAGAAGGCCCUAGGGUUGUAAAGUACUUUCAGCUGGGAGGCGUUACCGACAGAAGAAGCACCGGCUAACUCCGGGCCAGCAGCCGCGGUAAUAC
rnacentral:rRNA from 1 species